rnacentral:rRNA from 1 species
GUAACAAGGUUUCCGUAGGUGAACCUGCGGAAGGAUCAUUACAUUUAGUAGCUUGCUACUGCUAAGAGGGUCUGUUAGGCUGUAUAGUAUUGCUACUGACGAGCAGCAUGAUCCUCUAAGUCAACCCUUGUCUUUUGCGUACCUACGUUUCCUCAGCGGGUAUAACCCGCUGGCUGGACAAAAUUAAAACCCUUGAAUAUUCAAUCAGUGUCUGAGAAACUUAAUAAUUACAACUUUCAACAACGGAUCUCUUGGUUCUGGCAUCGAUGAAGAACGCAGCGAAAUGCGAUAAGUAGUGUGAAUUGCAGAAUUCAGUGAAUCAUCGAAUCUUUGAACGCACAUUGCGCCCCUUGGUAUUCCAUGGGGCAUGCCUGUUCGAGCGUCAUUUGUACCCUCAAGCUCUGCUUGGUGUUGGGUGUUGUCUAUGCUUUUGCUUGGACUCACCUCAAAGCAAUUGGCAGCCAGUGUUUUGGCAUAGAAGCGCAGCACAUCUUGCACUUCCAGUCUUAAACACCAGCUUCCUAGUAAGUCCCUUUACGUUUGACCUCGGAUCAGGUAGGGAUACCCGCUGAACUUAAGCAUAUC